GUCAGGCUGCUUCAUGGAUUGCUAAGCUGAGGAGAGACCUGGAUACUAUUUCAUUGAGGAGGUCAAUCUUUCAAAUUCUCUUGCUAUUGGGAAGGGUGAGCUUUCGUUUUUUGGAUCGUCUUCUGCCCAAUGCGGUACCCUCCCAUUUUUUGGUUCCCAUCCGAUUGGGUUUAUCUUGUUCACAGGUUGAACCCAUGGUAGCAAGAAAAGGUGAUCUUGUGCUAUACUCCAGUGAUCUCUUGCCUACCAAGGCACGCUAACUCCCAUCGUGUACCAGAUCACAUUCAGUGGAUCAAAAGGUUUUGCCCAAUCAUCCAUCAGCUCCUCUCAUAGAUGCGGUGCGGUUUUAUGAAGCGUCUAUUCUAAGCAAAAAAAAAUGGUAUUAUCGGAUGCUUGAGGAGAUAAGGACUAAACAUAUCCAAUACUUCUCAUUUCCAACUGCUUAAAAAUUAGCUUUAAAGCAAAUAAUCACCGGCUUGCUUUUCGCCUUUGCUUGAGACCAUUUUUCUUAUUUCUCGAUAAGUUCUUCGAGAUGUUGCUCUGAUUGGGUUGUAUUCUCUAAAGUACGAACAUCUUCUUCAGUAGUCUUGAUCAUGCAAGUUCCCAUGAGUUCUUCGAUAAAAGAGUCCUUCGGUUGAGGGCUUCAUCUUUCGGAUGCUAUCAGUUGGAGUUGGUAUAAUCUACACCUCUUCGAUUUCCUUGCUUUGCCCUGUUUUAUAAAAGACCUCAAAGAAAGCUAACAAACUUUGCUUGCCCAGUUGCAGCAAUGAAUCCAUCCCUCUUUCGCUUCUGCUCGGUCAACCAAAUCUUAAGAUUCCUUAAGACCAGCAUCUGGAUAGCCAGGAGUACUCUGCAACCCAUUUUUCACAUUGGCUAUUCCUUAUUGAUUGGCAUCCCAAGACAAAAUCAUUCAUGGUCUCUCCAGGAAUUGGAUUUGGAUAGAGAACAGUCGGACAACUUGGAGGGGCUCAAAUUUAGUAAGUGUUCAUUCAGCAUAACAACAGACUUUCUUGGCAAAGGGAAGGCCUUGACUUGAAUCACCCGAUGUUCGUAGGGCUGGAACAUAUCGGUUGGACGGUUGGAUUGGAGAGAAAUGCCUAAUGGGUUGCUUGUCCUUAUGUGCUUUUCUGUCACAUACUUUGUUUCUACGGGCCUAUUUUUGAGCGUCAACCGAACCGAUGUUGAAUGCAUGUCUUGAUGAUAUCGGUAGGGGAAUAUAAUCUGUUGUUUGAUUUUUUAUAAUGGGAAUAGAAUCCAUUCUUUGCCUUGAUUGAAAACAAAGGGAAGGAGUAUAGGCACCUCCCUUCAUAGUGGAAGGUCUUUACUUGAAGCAAGCGAAAGGCUGGAAUAGAGCGGGAGUAAUAUCAUCUUUUAUUUUUGAAUCAUCUGGCUUUCCCAGCGCUUCAGAGUUAGAACUUGACUUGCCUAGACUUCCCUUUGACUGGAUUGACUAGGGGACUUACCUCUGCUUCCUCUUUCGGGUUGAUAGGCCAGGACACCAGCUGAGCUUCCCAUGUUCCGAUCAUAUGAUUCUAGGUAGGUGAGUUCUUAUAUGUCAGAUUCUUUAGGGACCUCGACCCAUGAAUACUCACAAGGAGUUUGAUCACGGCUUCUAGUCCCCUCCUGCCUAGGCUGAAACACACCUCGAGUCAGAACCAAGGUGCCCAGUUGAGUCCGUAGGUGUGCUACGCCUAACGGUAACAUCAAUGAGCUGCACCCCAAAAUACCAUCUAAUAAAGCCCCAAAACAGUUACCAGUUUUAGAGAGGACAGGUGAUAGGAUUGGAGGCCUAUACCAAAUAGAGCCGAAUUUCUUCAGCAUUACAUCAGAAUCACCCUCCAUCACUCUCCAGUGUCUUUCCAACUAUGAAGCACCGAUAAUAUCUAUCCGAACAGUAUCUUUCACUAGUAAUGUAUAGUAUCAUGAGGUAGACUGAGUUUGGCGAGGUCUCAAUGUCGGGUAAGUUCUGACCCGCAUGAAAGACGUAAUGAUCUGGGCACUGUCUCAGAGAGAGGCUCGGUGAAAUAGACAUGUUUGUGAAGAUGUGGACUAUCUGCACCUGGAUAGGAAGACCCUAUGAAGCUAUACUGUUCCCUCAGAUUGGCUUUGGGCCUUUCUUGCGCAGCUUAGGUGGAGGGCGAAGAAGGCCUCCUUCUGGGGAGGCCCGAGCCAUUAGUGAGAUACCACUCUGUAAGAGCUAGAAUUCUAACCUUGUGUCAGGAUCUACGGGCCAAGGGAUAGUCUCAGGUAGACAGUUUCUAUGGGGUGUAUUCCUCCCAAAGGGUAAUAGAGGCAUGCAAAGGUUUCCUCGGGCCAGACGGAGAUUGGCCCUUGAGUGCAAAGGCAGAAGGAAGCUUAACUACAAGACACACCCGUCGAGUAGGGACGAAUAUCAGCCUUAGUGAUCCGACUGUGCCGAGUGGAUGGACCGUCGCUCAACAGAUAAAAGUUACUCUAGGGAUAACAGGCUGAUCUUCCCCAAGAGUUCACAUCAACGGGAAGGUUUGGCACCUUGAUGUCGGCUCUUCGCCAGCUGGGGCUGUAUUAUGUUCCAAGGGUUGGGUUGUUCGCCCAUUAAAGAGGUACAGUACAUGAGCUGGGUUUAGAAUGUCGUGAGACAUUUCGGUCCAUAUCCGGUGUGGGCGUUAGAGCAUUGAGAGGACCUUUCCCUAGUAAGAGAGGACCGUGAAGGAUGUACCUCUAGUGUACCAGUUAUCGUGCCCACGGUAAAUGCUGUGUAGCCAAGUGCGGAGCAGAUAACUGCUGAAAGCAUCUAAGUAGUAAGCCCACCCCAAGAUGAGUGAUCUCAUAUUAUGACUUCCCAGAGCCUCCGGUAGCAUAGCCGAGAUAGCGACGGGCUCUCUGCCCCUGCGGGGAUGGAGCGAUAGAAAUAUUAGGAAUCCAAGAUAAGGUCACGGAGAGAUGAGCCAUUUAUCAUUAUGAUAGGUGUCAAGUGC
rnacentral:rRNA from 1 species